CCCUUGAGGCAAUUUCUUGUGAUUAAAAUGUUUUAGUAAUAUGGGGCUGCUAACAUCGUUUGAUUCUUCAGACGUCUGGUUUUUUUGUUUUUGUUUUUUAACCUCCUCCCUAGUUUUGGGUGGUGUUCUAACUCAGAGAGGCCAUCAACCAGUAAUUUUUGGAUAAGACAUGAACGGAUUAUCACGUGUUUAAUUAAACUCCAUGGAUUUGUUCCAGAAAUUUUCAGAUUUAUCAUAGGUAGUUAUGAAAUACAUAAUCAAAAAAUAUUUUUCCACAUCAUGGUACAUCUUCACACUGCAUAUCUAUCAGGCUUCUCAAAAUAGACUUGCCAUCUACCUAUAACACUUGUCCCAAUAAAUUUUUUGAUAUCCAUGAAUUCAUCUGCAGCAAAACUCAUCUGUCUUCUUUGAUUCCUCCCUUACCAUUUCCCCAACAGACAAUGGACCAUGAAGCCUUGUUGAUUCUUCCCCUAAAUUAUGCUUUGAUAUUCUCCUCUGACAUGUAAUAUCUUUUACAAAUUGGCCCCAUCUUACUUUCAAAGGAUAUUUGUCACUUUUCUGGCCAGUGUCUGUUCCCAUCAAUUGGGUAAUAGCAACCACGGAGACUAGGAUUCUUUCUGCCAUUAUGACAACUUGGUAGAACUCUCUAUCAAGGGGUUCUGCUCUGUCUGAGCCAAGAGAUGUCUCGGUUGUACAAGUCAGAUGCUGUCUCACUGAAGUCUGAUGUUCAAGAAAAACCACGGAAAAUGAUUCACCUUAUGAACCUGCCAGAAGAGACCAGCACUGACGGCACAAAUGCUCCCUAUGUCCUGCUAUACCUAGAAUCCUCGAUCCUAGUUCCCAUCUGGAAGGGGAGCCUAACAUCAAUAUCCAGCAAGAAGUUGGUGGUUCAGAAGCAAAUUCAAAACAUGACAUAUUGAAAGACAUAGUAUAAAAUAACUGGCCUGUAAUUUUCAAAAAUGUCAAUGUCAUGUGAAAACAAAGAAAGGCUGAGACACAUUCCAGAUUAAAGGAGACUAAAGGGACAUGGGAACUACAUGCAGUACAUGAUCCUAUGCUGGGGAUCAUAUAACGGGGGAAAAUUCUAUAAAAGACAUUAUUGAGCCAACAAAUGAAGUUGAAAUGUAUUGUAUUAAUGUUCAGUUUCCUGAAUUUGAUAACUAUACUAUGAUUAUGUAAGAGAAAUCUUUGUUUUUAGGAAACAGGCACUAAAUAAUUAAGACGUGAAGAGAUGCUAUAUAGAUGAUAAAGCAAAUAUGACAAAAUUGUUCAAAGUUGGUGAGUGUGAAAAAGGGUCUACAGAAGUAUUUUUUACUAAUAACUUUUCUACAAAUUAAAAAUAAUUCUGUAUGUUGGCAAAUUGAACACCAAUAAAAAAUAAAUUUAUUAUUUAAAAAAAUAACUUCAAAGGAUAAGUUUUUAAAAGAGAGUUCUAAUGUUGGACUUAGGGUUCACUCCCAGGAUUCCUACCACCUCAUUUGUUCCUAAACACCAGGAACCACAUCCAUCUUGGCCAGCCUCAGACACUACUUCCCACUUGGUCCUGAUCGCUGGG
rnacentral:lncRNA from 1 species